GCUUCGCAAUGCCAACUCGGCCAUUUCUACUUCUGUUACUGCUCGUAGAGGUUGUUCUUCGUACACAUUUGAAUAAGGUAACGAUUAUACAACAUGGUAAAUGGAAGAAUACCUUCGGUUUUCUCAAAAACCUACGUUACUCCCAGAAGACCGUAUGAAAAGGCUCGUUUAGACCAAGAAUUACGAAUUAUUGGUGAAUAUGGUCUUCGUAAUAAACGUGAAGUGUGGCGAGUCAAAUAUACGUUAGCUAAUAUUCGAAAAGCCGCUCGUGAACUUCUUACUUUAGAAGAAAAGGAUCCUAAACGUUUGUUUGAAGGAAAUGCUCUUUUACGUCGUUUGGUAAGAAUUGGAGUACUAGAUGAAAGCCGUAUGAAGCUUGAUUAUGUUCUUGGUUUGAAGAUUGAAGACUUUUUAGAAAGACGACUUCAAACUCAAGUAUUUAAAUUAGGACUUGCCAAAUCUAUUCAUCAUGCUCGUGUGCUUAUUCGCCAACGUCACAUUAGGUAUUCGAACAAUUUCCCUGAUUGAUUGUCCAUUGAAAAUAAUAGAAAAUAUGUGACUUAAAUAUUGGCUGAAUAAUUGUGGUGCAGAAUUGCAUACUAAUAUUUUCUUUCAAGCAGGCCACUUAAGUGUUAGAAAACUGGCACUUAACGUCUGUCAUACAUUAAGGAAUACAUAGUCGUGUUAAAAGUAAUUGAGUGCGCAAACAAGUGGUAAACAUUCCAUCUUUCAUUGUGAGAUUGGAUUCACAGAAGCAUAUUGAUUUCUCAUUG